AUCUAGCUGACGAGUCCAAGAUAGGACGAAACGCGCAUCCUGGAU
rnacentral:hammerhead_ribozyme from 1 species